rnacentral:rRNA from 1 species
UACGUAGGGUGCGAGCGUUAAUCGGAAUUACUGGGCGUAAAGCGUGCGUAGGCGGUUCGCUGUGUCCGAUGUGAAAGCCCCGGGCUUAACCUGGGAAUGGCAUUGGAAACUGGCGGGCUUGAGUGCGGCAGAGGGGGGGUGGAAGUUCCGCGUGUAGCAGUGAAAUGCGUAGAGAUGCGGAGGAACACCGAUGGCGAAGGCAGCCCCCUGGGUCGACACUGACGCUCAGGCACGAAAGCGUGGGGAGCAACAGG